rnacentral:rRNA from 1 species
UACGUAGGGGGCAAGCGUUGUCCGGAAUUAUUGGGCGUAAAGCGCGUGUAGGCGGUCCGAUAAGUCGGCUGUGAAAGUCCAGGGCUCAACUCUGGAAUGCCGGCCGAUACUGUCGGACUAGAGUCCGGAAGAGGUGAGUGGAAUUCCCGGUGUAGCGGUGAAAUGCGCAGAUAUCGGGAGGAACACCAAUGGCGAAGGCAGCUCACUGGGACGGCACUGACGCUGAGACGCGAAAGCGUGGGGAGCGAACAGG